AGGGUUCGAUUCUGGCUCAGGAUGAACGCUAGCUACAGGCUUAACACAUGCAAGUCGAGGGGCAGCAGGACGAUAGCUUGCUAUGUGCUGGCGACCGGCGCACGGGUGAGUAACGCGUAUCCAACCUUCCCCUUAGUAGGGCAUAGCCCGUAGAAAUGCGGAUUAAUACCCUAUGUUAUUCGUCGAGGACAUCUGAAGUGAAUCAAAGGUUUACCGCUAAGGGAUGGGGAUGCGUCUGAUUAGGCAGCAGGCGGGGUAACGGCCCACCUGGCCUACGAUCAGUAGGGGUUCUGAGAGGAAGGUCCCCCACAUUGGAACUGAGACACGGUCCAAACUCCUACGGGAGGCAGCAGUGAGGAAUAUUGGUCAAUGGGCGCGAGCCUGAACCAGCCAAGUGCGUGCAGGAUGACGGCCCUAUGGGUUGUAAACUGUCUUUUAUGGCGGGGAUAAAGUUCACUACGUGUAGUGUUUUGUAGGUACCGCAUGAAUAAGGACCGGCUAAUUCCGUGCCAGCCGCCGC
rnacentral:rRNA from 1 species